rnacentral:lncRNA from 1 species
AUGUUCAAGCUGGCUUUAGAAAAGGCAGAGGAAUCAGAGAUCAAAUUUCCAACAUCCGCUGGAUCAUGGAAAAAGCAAGAGUUCCAGAAAAGCAUCUAUUUCUGCUUUAUUGACUAUGCCAAAGCUUUUGACUGUGUGGAUCACAAUAAACUGUGGAAAAUCCUGAAAGAGACGGGAAUACCAGACCACCUGACCUGCCUCUUGAGAAAUCUGUAUGCAGGUCAGGAAGCAACAGUUAGAACUGGACAUGGAAUAACAGACUGGUUUGAAAUAGGAAAAAGAGUAUGUCAAGGCUGUAUAUUGUCACCCUGUUUAUUUAACUUCUAUGCAGAGUACAUCAUGAGAAAUGUUGGACUGGAAGAAACACAAGCUGGUAUCAAGAUUGCCAGGAGAAAUAUCAAUAACCUCAGAUAUGCAGAUGACACCACCCUUUUGGCAGAAAUUGAAGAGGAACUGAAAAGCCUCUUGAUGAAAGAGAAAGAGGAAAGUGAAAAAGUUGGCUUAAAGCUCAACAUUCAGAAAACGAAGAUCAUGGCAUCCGGUCCCAUCACUUCAUGGGAAAUAGAUGGGGAAACAGUGGAAACAGUGUCAGACUUUAUAUUUUGGGGCUCCAAAAUCACUGCAGAUGGUGACUGCAGCCAUGAAAUUAAAAGACGCUUACUCCUUGGAAGGAAAGUUAUGACCAAACUAGAUAGCAUAUUGAAAAGCAGAGACAUUACUUUUCCAAAAAAGGUCCCUCUCGUCAAGGCUGUGGAUUUUCCAGUAGUCAUGUAUGGAUGUGAGAGUUGGACUGUGAAGAAGGCUGAGCGCCGAAGAAUUGAUGUGUUUGAGCUGUGGUGUUGGGGAAGACUCUUGAGAGUCCCUUGGACUGCAAGGAGAUCCAACCAGUCCAUUCUGAAGGAGAUCAGCCCUGGGAUUUCUUUGGAAGGAAUGAUGCUAAAGCUGAAACUCCAGUACUUUGGCCACCUCAUACAAAGAGUUGACUCAUUGGAAAAGACUCUGAUGUUGGGAGGGAUUGGGGACAGGAGAAGAAGGGGACGACAGAGGAUGAGGUGGCUGGAUGGCAUCACGGACUCGAUGGAUGUGAGUCUGAGUGAACUCCGGGAGUUGGUGAUGGACAGGGAGGCCUGGCGUGCUGCGAUUCAUGGGGUCUCAAAGAGUCAGACAAGACUGAAUGACUGA